AAAAACUUUCAACACGGAUCUCUUGGUUCCAGCGAUGAAGAACGCAGCGAAAUGCGAUAAGUAAUGUGAAUUGCAGAAUUCAGUGAAUCAUCGAAUCUUUGAACGCACAUUGCGCCCCUCGGUAUUCCGGGGGGCAUGCCUGUUCGAGCGUCAUUAC
rnacentral:rRNA from 1 species